AUUGAACGCUGGCGGCAUGCCUUACACAUGCAAGUCGAACGGCAGCACGGAAGCAAUCCUGGUGGCGAGUGGCGAACGGGUGAGUAAUAUAUCGGAACGUGCCCGGUCGUGGGGAUAACGUAGCGAAAGCUACGCUAAUACCGCAUACGAUCUACGGAUGAAAGCGGGGGAUCGCAAGACCUCGCGCGAUUGGAGCGGCCGAUAUCAGAUUAGGUAGUUGGUGAGGUAAAGGCUCACCAAGCCGACGAUCUGUAGCUGGUCUGAGAGGACGACCAGCCACACUGGGACUGAGACACGGCCCAGACUCCUACGGAGGCAGCAGUGGGGAAUUUUGGACAAUGGGCGCAAGCCUGAUCCAGCAAUGCCGCGUGCAGGAUGAA
rnacentral:rRNA from 1 species